UACGGAGGGUGCGAGCGUUGUCCGGAAUCACUGGGCGUAAAGGGCGCGUAGGUGGCGCGGGCAGUCAACGGUGAAAGUUCGGGGCUCAACCCUGAAUCGGCCGUCGAUACUCCGAGGCUCGAGCACUGUAGAGGCAGAUGGAAUUCCGGGUGUAGCGGUGGAAUGCGUAGAGAUCCGGAAGAACACCGGUGGCGAAGGCGGUCUGCUGGGCAGUUGCUGACACUGAGGCGCGACAGCGUGGGGAGCAAACAGG
rnacentral:rRNA from 1 species